UACGGUGGGAGCAAGCGUUGUUCGGAUUUACUGGGCGUAAAGGGCGCGUAGGCGGCACUGUUAGUCAGGCGUGAAAGUCCUGGGCUCAACCUGGGAACUGCGCUUGAUACGGCAGAGCUAGAGGAUGGAAGAGGGUCGCGGAAUUCCCAGUGUAGAGGUGAAAUUCGUAGAUAUUGGGAAGAACACCGGUGGCGAAGGCGGCGACCUGGUCCAUUACUGACGCUGAGGCGCGACAGCGUGGGGAGCAAACAGG
rnacentral:rRNA from 1 species